rnacentral:rRNA from 1 species
AGCGAACGCUGGCGGCAGGCCUAACACAUGCAAGUCGAACGCCCGUAGCAAUACGGGAGUGGCAGACGGGUGAGUAACGCGUGGGAACGUACCCUUCGGUUCGGAAUAAUCCAGGGAAACUUGGACUAAUACCGGAUACGUCCGUGAGGAGAAAGAUUUAUCGCCGAAGGAUCGGCCCGCGUCGGAUUAGCUAGUUGGUGAGGUAACGGCUCACCAAGGCUUUGAUCCGUAGCUGGUCUGAGAGGACGAUCAGCCACACUGGGACUGAGACACGGCCCAGACUCCUACGGGAGGCAGCAGUGGGGAAUAUUGGACAAUGGGCGCAAGCCUGAUCCAGUCAUGCCGCGUGAGUGAUGAAGGCCUUAGGGUUGUAAAGCUCUUUCGGCGGGGACGAUAAUGACGGUACCCGCAGAAGAAGCCCCGGCCAACUUCGUGCCAGCCGCCGCGGUAAAAC